GAAGAUGUAACCGCCAUUUUUUUUUUGAGAGACUCUAAUUGGAAGAGAAGGUGUUGUUUCUAGAAGAAGGCGAGAAAGUUUUUUUUUGUUUCUUAAGUCCCCUGAGGAUAGUUGGUUCGGCAAACCUAGUGAGUCUCAGAAGGGGAAUUUAUAGGUGAGGACGAUGAAUGGUGUUUUUUGUAAUUAUUGAGAAAGUUUGUGACCUUUUGCGUAAUUUAGGGAAUUUGGUUAAGUGACUUAACCAUGGUUUGUUUAUCAACUUGUAGGAUUCUGAUCCAACGGCUGAGAAGGAUGGUUCAGCUGAGUGCUUUUUGUGGGCACUUACAAUGGGCGCAUGAUUGAUGAAAUAGCUGAUAAAACUAUAGGCCAACAAAAAGAAAUAGUUUAUGUCAAAUUGUAGAUGCUUGUUUUUGAAAAUGGUUACUUCAAAAAUAUAAAACCUAAGAAAUAAUAACAAC
rnacentral:lncRNA from 1 species